rnacentral:rRNA from 1 species
GACAGAAAGACCCUAUGAAGCUUUACUGUAGCUUGGAAUUGAAUUUGGGUUUAUUUUGCGCAGUAUAGGUGGGAGGCUUAGAUCGUAUAUUUGCGGAUAUAAAGGAGCCAAAAGUGAGAUACCACUCUAAUUAAACUAGAAUUCUAAUCUUAAUGCCGUUAUCCGGCUAAGAAACAGUUUCAGGUGGGCAGUUUGACUGGGGCGGUCGCCUCCUAAAAAGUAACGGAGGCGUGCAAAGGUUUCCUCAGGCUGGUCGGAAAUCAGUCGUAGAGUGUAAAGGCAAAAGGAAGCUUGACUGCAAGACCUACAAGUCGAGCAGAGACGAAAGUCGGCCUUAGUGAUCCGACAGUACUGAGUGGAAAGGCUGUCGCUCAACGGAUAAAAGUUACUCUAGGGAUAACAGGCUGA